UACGUAGGGGGCAAGCGUUGUCCGGAUUUAUUGGGCGUAAAGAGCGUGUAGGCGGCUAGAUAGGUCCGUUGUGAAAACUCGAGGCUCAACCUCGAGACGUCGAUGGAAACCAUCUGGCUAGAGUCCGGAAGAGGAGAGUGGAAUUCCUGGUGUAGCGGUGAAAUGCGCAGAUAUCAGGAAGAACACCCGUGGCGAAGGCGGCUCGCUGGGACGUAACUGACGCUGAGACGCGAAAGCGUGGGGAGCAAACAGG
rnacentral:rRNA from 1 species